AGUUCGAUCCCGGGCUCAGAUUGAACGCUGGCGAUGCUUUACACAUGCAAGUCGAACGGCAGCACGGACUUCGGUCUGGUGGCGAGUGGCGAACGGGUGAGUAAUGUAUCGGAACGUGCCUAGUAGCGGGGGAUAAUCACGCGAAAGCGUAGCUAAUACCGCAUACGCCCUUCGGGGGAAAGCGGGGACCUUCGGGCCUCGCACUAUUAGAGCGCCGAUAUCGGAUUAGCUAGUUGGUGGGGUAACGGCUCACCAAGGCGACGAUCCGUAGCUGGUUUGAGAGGACGACCAGCCACACUGGGACUGGAGACACGGCCCAGACUCCUACGGGAGGCAGCAGGGGAAUUUGACAAUGGGGAAAUCCCGAUCCAGCCAUCCUCCGCGUGUGCGAUGAAGGCCUUCGGGUUGUAAAGCACUUUUGCGAAGAAACGGCACGGAUAAUACCCCGUGCAACUGAUUUACCUGCAGAAUAAGCACCGGCUAACUACGUGCCAGCAGCCGCGGUAAUACGUAGGGUGCAAGCGUUAAUCGGAAUUACUGGGCGUAAGCGUGCGCAGGCGGUUCGAAAGAAAGAUGUGAAAUCCCAGAGCUUAACUUCUUUGGAACUGCAUUUUAACUACCGAGCUAGAGUGUGUCAGAGGAGUGGAAUUUAUGCAGGAAUGCAGAUAUGCGGAGGAAACACCGAUGGCGAAGGCAGCCUCCUGGGAUAAAUACUGACGUUUAUGCACGAAAGCGGUGGGAGCAAACAGGAUUAGAUACCCCUGGUAGUCCACGCCCUAAACGAUGUCAACUAGCUGUUGGGGCCUUCGCUCUGCACAACGUGAAGUUGACCCGCCGCCUGGGGAGUACGGUCGCAAGAUUAAAAACUCGUAUGAAUUGACGGGACCCGUGCACAAGCGUGGAUGAUGUGGAUUAACGAUGCAACGCGAAAACCUUACCUACCCUUGACAUGUCUGGAAUCCCGAAGAGAUUUGGGAGAUGCUCGCAAGUAGAACCGGAACACAGGUGCUGCAUGGCUGUCGUCAGCUCGUGUCGUGAGAUGUUGGGUUAAGUCCCGCAACGAGCGCAAACCUUGUCAUUAGUUGCUACGAAAGGGCACUCUAUCGAGACUGCCGGUGACAAACCGGAGGAAGGUGGGGAUGACGUCAAGUCCUCAUGGCCCUUAUGGGUAGGGCUUCACACGCCAUGUAAUGGUCGGGAUGAGGGCUAACCCGCGAGGGGGAGCCAACUUCAGAAACCCGAUCGUAGUCCGGAUCGCAGUCUGCACCGACUGCGUGAAGUCGGAAUCGCUAGUAAUCGCGGAUAUCAGCAUGUCGCGGUGAAUACGUUCCCGGGUCUUGUACACACCGCCCGUCACACCAUGGGAGCGGGUUUUACCAGAAGUAGUUAGCCCAACCGUAAGGAGGGCGAUUACCACGGUAGGAUUCAUGACUGGGGUGAAGUCGUAAAUGAAGGUAA
rnacentral:rRNA from 1 species